rnacentral:lncRNA from 1 species
CUUGGAUGUGCUCUUAGUGCCCCGCUGACAUCUUACCAAACCAUCUAUGCUCUGCCCAUGCUCACCAUCAAGGAGGACAAAGCUGCCCAUCAUUGAGAUCCCUGGCUAUGGGAAUCUGUCGGCUCCUCCAGUUCUGUGACCAGUUGACAAUCCCGAGCCAGAAUGACCGUGAGAAGCUGGCAGAGGCCAAGGAGAGGGGCUAUGAAGGAAUCAUGCAGGUUGAAGGCUACAAGGGCCGAAAAAGUGCAGGACGUCAAUAAACCCAUCCAAAAGACAAUGAUGGAGGAGGAGGUUUUUUUUUGGUCCUGUGUGCUUGUUGCUAUAGGAACAAGGUUGCCAUGGGACCAGCAGUGGCUAAUCGAGUCCCUGUCUGACUCGACCAUUUACAUGGCCUACGACACCGUGGCUCACUUCCUCUAGGGGGAGUGCUCAACGGACAGGGACCUUCGCCUCAAGGGAUCAAGUAUGCACCACUCUCUACUCUCACAUGGUCAUUUAAUUUAGUGGAAAUAGGCUUCUGUAGAUGCAGACUGAGGGCAUUAUAACUCCUUAAUAUGACCUUUUCAACACAUUAUUACAAUAGAGAAAGUUUGUAUUGUAAUAGUUGGAGAUAUGAUUAUAAUGUACUAUUUUGCACAUGCAUAUACAGUUGAAGUCGGAAGUUUACAUACACCUUAGCCAAAUACAUUUAAACUCAGUUUUUCACAAUUCCUGACAUUUAAUCCUAGUAAAGAUUCCCUGUCUUAGGUCAGUUAAGAUCACCACUUUCUUUUAAGAAUGUGA